AUUGAACGCUGGCGGCAUGCCUUACACAUGCAAGUCGAACGGUAACAGGUCUUCGGAUGCUGACGAGUGGCGAACGGGUGAGUAAUACAUCGGAACGUGCCUAGUAGUGGGGGAUAACUACUCGAAAGAGUAGCUAAUACCGCAUGAGAUCUACGGAUGAAAGCAGGGGAUCGCAAGACCUUGUGCUACUAGAGCGGCUGAUGGCAGAUUAGGUAGUUGGUGGGAUAAAAGCUUACCAAGCCGACGAUCUGUAGCUGGUCUGAGAGGACGAUCAGCCACACUGGGACUGAGACACGGCCCAG
rnacentral:rRNA from 1 species